GUGGGGAAUAUUGGACAAUGGGCGAAAGCCUGAUCCAGCCAUGCCGCGUGUGUGAAGAAGGUCUUCGGAUUGUAAAGCACUUUAAGUUGGGAGGAAGGGCAGUAAGUUAAUACCUUGCUGUUUUGACGUUACCGACAGAAUAAGCACCGGCUAACUUCGUGCCAGCAGCCGCGGUAAUACGAAGGGUGCAAGCGUUACUCGGAAUUACUGGGCGUAAAGCGUGCGUAGGUGGUGGUCUACGUACGUUGUGAAAGCCCUGGGCUCAACCUGGGAAUUGCAGUGGAUACUGGAUCACUAGAGUGUGGUAGAGGGUAGUGGAAUUUCCUGUGUAGCGGUGAAAUGCGUAGAUAUAGGAAGGAACACCAGUGGCGAAGGCGACUACCUGGACUGAUACUGACACUGAGGUGCGAAAGCGUGGGGAGCAAACAGGAUUAGAUACCCUAGUAGUCC
rnacentral:rRNA from 1 species